rnacentral:rRNA from 1 species
GUGGGGAAUAUUGGACAAUGGGGGGAACCCUGAUCCAGCCAUGCCGCGUGUGUGAAGAAGGCCUUUUGGUUGUAAAGCACUUUAAGCGAGGAGGAGGCUACCGAGAUUAAUACUCUUGGAUAGUGGACGUUACUCGCAGAAUAAGCACCGGCUAACUCUGUGCCAGCAGCCGCGGUAAUACAGAGGGUGCAAGCGUUAAUCGGAUUUACUGGGCGUAAAGCGCGCGUAGGUGGCCAAUUAAGUCAAAUGUGAAAUCCCCGAGCUUAACUUGGGAAUUGCAUUCGAUACUGGUUGGCUAGAGUAUGGGAGAGGAUGGUAGAAUUCCAGGUGUAGCGGUGAAAUGCGUAGAGAUCUGGAGGAAUACCGAUGGCGAAGGCAGCCAUCUGGCCUAAUACUGACACUGAGGUGCGAAAGCAUGGGGAGCAAACAGGAUUAGAAACCCUAGAGUCC